AAUCAACAACAAUAAAUACGUAAUGGAGCAAGUAGAGAAAUUCAACGACUCAAUUAUAUAAAAACAUAACAAGAAUUUAUCCUACAAGAGGUUCUGUCAAAACCCUAGAUAAUUGUUUAGCUACUCAUAACAAAAUAAAAUAAAGCUACAAAGUUGUUCAUAAUGUAUAAUUGCAAGAAUUAAAAGGAGAUAGAAAAACUCUAGUGUUUGGUUGAUCUUCUCACACUUGUUCUUGCCUCCCAAGUAGUCUAAAAACAAGCUUCCCCCCGGACUUGGGCGAGUUUGUUGAGUUUAUAUAGGGUUAGGAUAAGUUUUCCCAUGAGUUACACUUUGGCACUAAAACUUUUUGUUGUUAUCUAGAUCUACCGCGGUCGUGGCACGACCACGGUGAAUGACUAUCGCGCUCCCCUUUUCUCGCAAAAUUAGGUUUAUGAAAUUUGGAGGGACUAAUCGUUCCUUUUGGGAACUAGGUUUGCAUUUGAAGAGUCGCCUCCUAAUGAUUAAGGAGCAUUAGGACACCAAUAGAAAUUCAACUCUGAGUUUGUUUGAAUAACCAGAGAUUGGGUAAGGGCUUGAAAUUAUCCCAAGGGGAAGGUGUUAGGCACCCCUCAAGAUCCAUUAGUGUGGUUUCUGACGAGACAAUUAUUGUGAAUUUAGCAAAUAGACAAGUGUGGGCUCAAAUAUUAGAGGAUUUAAACAUAUAAAAGAAAGAACAUUUGAAAGGAG
rnacentral:lncRNA from 1 species